rnacentral:rRNA from 1 species
CCUACGGGAGGCAGCAGUGGGGAAUAUUGCACAAUGGGGGAAACCCUGAUGCAGCGACGCCGCGUGAGUGAAGAAGUAUUUCGGUAUGUUAAGCUCCUUCAGCAGGAACGAGACAAGACGGUACCUGACUAAGAAGCCCCGGCUAACUACGCGCCAGCAGCCGCUGUAAUACGUAGGGGGCAAGCGUUGUCCGGCAGCACUGGGUGGAAAGGAAGCGUAGCCGGGUGAGCAAGCCUGAAGGGAAAGGCGGGGGCCCAACCCCCGGACUGCAUAGGGAACUGUACGGCUGGAGUGCAGGAGAGGGAAGUGGAAUUCCUGGUGUAGCGGUGAAAUGCGUAGAUAUGAGGAGGAACA